AUUCUUCUAGUAUUAAUUAGUACACGUGACUUCCAAUCACUAAGACCCAGAAAAACCUGAGGAAGAAUA
rnacentral:tRNA from 1 species